rnacentral:rRNA from 1 species
CUCAGGAUGAACGCUAGCGAUAGGCUUAACACAUGCAAGUCGAGGGGCAGCAUGAGGGUUAGCAAUAACCCUUGACGGCGACCGGCGCAAGGGUGCGUAACGCGUGAGCAACUUGCCCUUAUCAGGGGGAUAACCGGUGGAAACGCCGACUAAUACCCCAUGGCAUCACAUCAAGGCAUCUUUUUGUGAUUAAAGAAAUUCGGAUAAGGAUAGGCUCGCGUGACAUUAGCUAGACGGCGGGGUAACGGCCCACCGUGGCGACGAUGUCUAGGGGUUCUGAGAGGAAGGUCCCCCACACUGGAACUGAGACACGGUCCAGACUCCUACGGGAGGCAGCAGUGAGGAAUAUUGGUCAAUGGUCUGACGACUGAACCAGCCAUGCCGCGUGAAGGUCACGGCCCUAUGGGUCUUAAACUUCUUUUGCGAGGGAGCAAUAAGGUCUACGUGUAGUCCGAUGAGAGUACCUCGCGAAUAAGCAUCGGCUAACUCCGUG